rnacentral:tRNA from 1 species
CUGGGUGUGGCGCAGCUGGUAGCGCGCGCGGUUCGGGACUGCGAGGUCGACGGUUCAAAUCCGUUCACCCAGACCA